UACGGAGGGUGCAAGCGUUAUCCGGAUUUACUGGGUUUAAAGGGUGCGUAGGCGGUUUUGUAAGUCAGUGGUGAAAGCCCGGAGCUCAACUCCGGAACUGCCUUUGAUACUGCUUAGCUUGAAUCAAGUAGAGGUGGAUGGAAUAAUACAUGUAGCGGUGAAAUGCUUAGAUAUGUAUUAGAACACCGAUGGCGAAGGCAGUUCACUAUGCUUGUAUUGACGCUGAGGCACGAAAGCGUGGGGAUCAAACAGG
rnacentral:rRNA from 1 species